AUUUGUCUAUCAUGGCUCAUGUUGAAAGCAAACAGCACAACUCUGAUUAAAAUACAUGUACAAUAUUAGCAUAUCCGAAAUGAAAAUCAAAACUAUUGGAGUUCUCUAUUAACUCAAUGAUUGAACAUACAUUGAUGACCUCUUCUUAGUCUUGUUCUGCAUCUUCUAUCUCUUCAUCCUCCGGAACUCCAUGAAGGUAGAGAACAUUGUUGCAUCUGCAGAUAACUUGCAAACAGAGUAAAUCUUCUCAAGGAAUAUGAAGCUUAAUUCUAAAACACUUCCGCACAAAAUAAAGCAAUUUAAAAAAUAAUAUUUUGAGGAUACGAGAGCUUCAGUACUCCUAAGUCCUAACCAAAUGACCAUCUCAACAGCUGUUUGAAGAGUUAAUGACAGCAAAAGCAACAUACAUUACAACAUACAAAGGCAUUAUAGAAACCAAAAUUUAAUUCACUAUUUUGUUUGUGGUCUUAACAUAUUAUCUGUAGCUCUCUUUUGCUUCAUAAUUUUGCGCCACUUUGACAAUAGGUGUCUGGAACUCUACCUGCACUUCUAACAUACAACCUAUAGAAGAACAACAAAUACAAAUAUGCAGUGAUGCAUGUGUGUAAUACACAAAAGGUUGCCUGUUUGGAGAAGACAUUUUCAAUGUAGAGAUAAAUGCAUGCUUCAUUGUUGUCUUUUAUUACUAUUUAUAUGCUUUAUGGAUGUAUUACAUUGCAUAAAAUCUUCCAGAGUAGCCUUUAACAUAUUUCUUUUACAAUUGCUGGAAGGGA